GAUGAACGCUGGCGGCGUGCUUAACACAUGCAAGUCGAACGGUGAAGGCGGAGCUUGCUCUGCUGGAUCAGUGGCGAACGGGUGAGUAACACGUGAGCAAUCUGCCCCUGACUCUGGGAUAAGCGCUGGAAACGGCGUCUAAUACUGGAUACGAGCUGCGAAGGCAUCUUCAGCAGCUGGAAAGAACUUCGGUCAGGGAUGAGCUCGCGGCCUAUCAGCUUGUUGGUGAGGUAACGGCUCACCAAGGCGUCGACGGGUAGCCGGCCUGAGAGGGUGACCGGCCACACUGGGACUGAGACACGGCCCAGACUCCUACGGGAGGCAGAAGUGGGGAAUAUUGCACAAUGGGCGAAAGCCUGAUGCAGCAACGCCGCGUGAGGGACGACGGCCUUCGGGUUGUAAACCUCUUUUAGCAGGGAAGAAGCGAAAGUGACGGUACCUGCAGAAAAAGCGCCGGCUAACUACGUG
rnacentral:rRNA from 1 species